rnacentral:rRNA from 1 species
GAUGAACGCUGGCGGCGUGCUUAACACAUGCAAGUCGAACGGUGAACGAGGGAGCUUGCUCCCUCCGGAUCAGUGGCGAACGGGUGAGUAACACGUGAGCAAUCUGCCCUGGACUCUGGGAUAAGCGUUGGAAACGACGUCUAAUACCGGAUACGAGGCGUGGGGGCAUCCCCAACGCCUGGAAAGAACUUCGGUCCAGGAUGAGCUCGCGGCCUAUCAGCUAGUUGGUGAGGUAACGGCUCACCAAGGCGACGACGGGUAGCCGGCCUGAGAGGGUGACCGGCCACACUGGGACUGAGACACGGCCCAGACUCCUACGGGAGGCAGCAGUGGGGAAUAUUGCACAAUGGGCGCAAGCCUGAUGCAGCAACGCCGCGUGAGGGACGACGGCCUUCGGGUUGUAAACCUCUUUCAGCAGGGAAGAAGCGAAAGUGACGGUACCUGCAGAAGAAGCACCGGCUAACUACGUGCCAGCAGCCGCGGUAAGAC